rnacentral:tRNA from 1 species
UGGAUAGCUCAGCUAGGUAGAGCAUCAGAUUCCUAAUCUGAUUGUCGAAGGUUCGAAUCCUUUUCCAA